rnacentral:misc_RNA from 1 species
UGUUUUCUCUUUGAGCAUGCAAACGCACCUCUAUGUGCUUACUAAUAUUUUCGUAUCUUUUUUAGAAGGGCGGCGCAGAGAUGUGUCACAUAUGAAAAUUUGCUCUCAUUUUGAAGAACUUGUAAGCUAAGAAACACAUACAACAAGAAAAACUAAGUUUUAAUCCCAAACUAAGAAACAAAUCCAGCAGUAAUUAUUGUCAAAGGGAAUGAAUUUCCAUUUUUCAUUAAUUGGUAGUGAAUCCAGCACCUAGCUAUGCAAGAAACAAAUCGGCAAACCCAAAGCUGCUCUAAUAAAACUGUCUAUGCUUAAUCUCGAAUGGAAACUAAAGAAAUGAAAGAUAAAGUUCAAACAGUA